UUAUGACCCUUAUGCCGUGGGCUGAUAAGUGUUUUGGGAAAACACUAAAUUGGCUUAAACUAUCAAACUCCGGGGACACCCUAAAGAUUAAAAUACUAAACCAUAUUCGAAAGUUUAUGAGUGGCUGGAGUAAUUACCCAGGUAUAGUAACAAGUUUUAAUAUGAUCGAAAGAGAAAUGGGCUAUCGCGGAUCUAAGUCAAAUAUUAUAGACGUUAAGCUAUUCCAUUUGGUGUUGAAAAUCUUUUUUAUCUUCACCUUGUUUAUAAUAUUUGUAAAAGAGCAACGAGUAGACGGUAGUUGUUGCACUAUUGAGUUAGGUGCAUAUUUCUCAUCUAUAGUGCAAUUAAGGUGUACUCUAAUGGGUUUCGAAAGAAACUA
rnacentral:ribozyme from 1 species